rnacentral:rRNA from 1 species
ACACGGUAAGGAUUGACGGACUGAAGGCUCUUUCUCGAUUCCGUGGAAAGUGGUGCAUGGCCGUUUUUGGUUGGUGGAUCGAUCCGUCUGGUUAAUUCCGUUAACGAACGAGACCUCGGCACUCCGAAUAGCGCGGCGGACGUCGCGGCCUCCGGGCCGUCUUCCGCACGAGCUUCUUAGAGGGACCGUCCCCCGCCGGGGAAGGAGGUGCGAGGCAACGACAGGUCUGUGAUGCCCUUAGAUGUUCUGGGCCGCACGCGCAUUACACUGACGCGUCCAACGGGUGACUCCCGACCCGAAGGGCCGGGGAAUCCGCAAGGCGCGUCGUGAUGGGGAUUGAACGUUGCAAUUGUUGUUCACGAACGAGGAAUUCCUAGUAGGCGCGGGUCAUCAACCCGCGCCGAUUACGUCCCUGCCCUUUGUACACACCG